ensembl:lncRNA
CAUGACUGGGCUAAGGCAUGCUCUCAGAUAUCUGGUAAAAUAUUAUUUCUGGGUGUGUCUUUGAGGGUGUGCCUGGAAGAGAUUAGCAUUCGAAUUGGUAGACUGAGUAAAGAUCAACCUCACCAGUGUGGGUGCGCUUCCUGCAAUCCCCUGAAGGCCUGAACAGAACAAAAAGGCAGAGGAAAGUGGUAAAGAUUAGCCUGAGGUGCUCACCCGCCAGAUCAACUGGGACCUAAAGAAUGAUAACUCUGGCCUUUUCUGAACCAUGUUUUUAAACUGUGGUGUUGGAGAAGACUCUUGAAGAGUCCCUUGCACUGCAAGAAGAUCAAAGCAGUCCAUCAUAAAGGAAAUCAGUCCUGAGUAUUCAUUGGAAGGACUGAUGCAGAAGCUGAAAUGCCAAUAUUUUGGCCACCUGAUGUGAAGAACUGACUCAUUUAAAAAGACCUUGAUGCUGGGAAAAAUUGAAGGCAGGAGGAGAGGGGGACAACAGAGGAUGAAAUGGUUGGAUGGCAUCGCUGACCUGAUGGACAUGAGUUUGAGCAAGUUCCGGGAGUUGGUGAUGGACAGGGAAGCCUGCAGUGCUGCAGUCCGUGGGGUCGCAAAGAGUCAGACAUGACUGAGCGACUGAACUGAACUGAACUGAAAGUUUGGACCCUGUCGACCACCCGAGUCGCUCUAUUAAUAUGACGUACCCUUAGCUUGAAGCUUCCCCAAUUUUGCUAUUCAGGGAGCCACUUAUUUGGGGAAGAUCUCCAGUGCUCUCCUUACUUGCUGCAAGUACCAAGUCCUCCCUUCUCUGGCUCUUUGACUUGGUUGUGCCUUGGUUCCACACUCACCAAGAGACAAGUGCUGUUUUUCAGAUAACAGCAUGGUGACUAUGCAUCCUGAUUUUCCUAAGACUGUCUCAGUUCUUUUGUCCUGACACCCCAUGCAGCAAGCAGUCCCCUUUACUCUCAUAAGUGCCCUGGUUUUGUUAUAGCCACGCAUUCCGGGAAACAAACUCACUCAGAAGGACAAUGCAGAUAGUGGAGUGCAGUUU